AACGAACGCUGGCGGCGUGGAUAAGACAUGCAAGUCGAACGGGACACUGCGAGUAGCAAUAUGAGUAGUGUCUAGUGGCGAACGGGUGCGUAACACGUGGAUACAUUCCGGGAAGCGGGGGAUAGCCCAGGGAAACUUGGAUUAAUACCGCAUGUGGUCGAAAGACUAAAGACGGGGACCGCAAGGCCUGUCACUUCCCGAUUGGUCCGCGGCCUAUCAGCUAGUUGGCGGGGUAAAAGCCCACCAAGGCUACGACGGGUAGCUGGUCUUAGAGGACGACCAGCCACACUGGAACUGAGACACGGUCCAGACACCUACGGGUGGCAGCAGUCGAGAAUCUUUCACAAUGGGGGCAACCCUGAUGGAGCGACGCCGCGUGGAGGAUAAGGUCUUCGGAUUGUAAACUCCUGUCAUGUGUGAACAAGGUUGCAGGGCUAAUAACUCUGCAAAUUGAUGGUAACACAAGAGGAAGAGACGGCUAACUCUGUGCCAGCCGCCGCGGUAACAC
rnacentral:rRNA from 1 species